rnacentral:lncRNA from 1 species
AAGGUCUCUUUGCAGUUUCAGAGGGGGUGGGUUUUUUGGAUCAGAAGAUGGAAGUGACGUGAUGAACUUUUCAGGUGCUAGGAGCUCGAUUUCGGCUGCACGGAGUUCCGGCGUCAAUGGCGGUUUGCUCUUUGAUCCUGAGAGGAAAAGUGGGUUUAGUGAAGCAGAACCAAGGAGAAGUGGUUUUGAUAGUGAAAGAAGAGACAGUACUUUUAUGGAGUCCGAUAUUGCAGCCAUUAGGAAAAGUGGCAUGGGCGGCGGCAGUUUCAUGGAUGUUGAUGGGGGUUUUAGUGGUGCAAACAGGCGG